UGGACGUCUGUUGCAUACAGAGCCAGAGUGUGACCGUCUGCUCCUCGCGCGCUCCACGGUCUUACGCGGGCACGCGCUGGAUACCUGACGCGGGAGCGCGCAGCAGAGGAAAAAAGGAGUGCAGCGAACGUGAAUGUGGAUGGUUGUGUGAACACAGACUGAUUGACUGCUCGGUUGACAGACAAAGUUGCGUGCGUCUAUGGGAAAAACCACGCUUAAGUGAGUCCCAUGUUCUGAACUGUUGCAAUUCCGAAUAAAUCCUUGAAAGAGAGAAGUUUCGGCAUCCGUGUUUUAACAGACACCCCUGGAGCGAAGUGUAUUGACGUAAUUCGGACCCUAUACAGUCCUACAAACCCUACAUAACAACUACUGAAACAUAAUGUUUAAAAAUGUCAUCAUGAAUGCGCAGUGUUUCUCUCAUUUGAUACGGUGUUGAAUUCGUUGGAGGUAAAUAAAAAGAAAGGAACAAUGAC